rnacentral:tRNA from 1 species
AACGGGUCGCAGCGCAGUUGGUAGCGCGGAGCUGUGGUGACCUUGAGGUCACGGGUUCAAACCCCGCCACCCGUUG